rnacentral:misc_RNA from 1 species
AAAGUCGUAACAAGGUUUCCGUAGGUGAACCUGCGGAAGGAUCAUUAACGAAUUUAACAGAGGUUGUGCUGGUUCUUACAAGUGCACGCCUCUUUCAAUUCCAUUCACACCCCAUGUGCACUUAAGAGACGUAUCUCCCCCGUUUACGUGCCUUUAUUGGCUUGGGAUUUCGUCUGUUUCACACACACUAUUUGUAUCAGAAUGUAACUCGGCGGAUACGCCUAAACUUUUAAUAUAACUUUCAACAACGGAUCUCUUGGUUCUC